rnacentral:rRNA from 1 species
GAGUUUGAUCUUGGCUCAGAACGAACGCUGGCGGCAUGCCUAACACAUGCAAGUCGAACGAGAUCUUCGGAUCUAGUGGCGCACGGGUGCGUAACGCGUGGGAAUCUGCCCUUGGGUGCGGAAUAACUUCUCGAAAGGGAUGCUAAUACCGCAUAAUGUCGUAAGACCAAAGAUUUAUCGCCCAAGGAUGAGCCCGCGUAAGAUUAGCUAGUUGGUGGGGUAAAAGCCUACCAAGGCGACGAUCUUUAGCUGGUCUGAGAGGAUGAUCAGCCACACUGGGACUGAGACACGGCCCAGACUCCUACGGGAGGCAGCAGUGGGGAAUAUUGGACAAUGGGCGAAAGCCUGAUCCAGCAAUGCCGCGUGAGUGAUGAAGGCCCUAGGGUUGUAAAGCUCUUUUACCCGGGAUGAUAAUGACAGUACCGGAGAAUAAGCUCCGGCUAACUCCGUGCCAGCAGCCGCCGUAAC